ensembl:snRNA U4 U4 spliceosomal RNA
AGCUUUGCACAAUGGCAGUAUCAUAGCCAAUGAGGUUUAUCCGAGGCACAAUUAUUGCUAUUUGAAAACUAUAUUGUCUUUUGUUGAACGUUGUUAUCACAUGUAACUUCUUUUACUUUAUGGCUUGCAUUUUUUUCCUUUCGAUAACUAGAAAAUGU